rnacentral:rRNA from 1 species
CCUACGGUGUGCUGCAGUGGGGAAUAUUGGACAAUGGGCGAAAGCCUGAUCCAGCCAUGCCGCGUGUGUGAAGAAGGCCUUCGGGUUGUAAAGCACUUUCAGUGGGGAAGAAAGCCUUGGGGCUAAUACCCUCGAGGAAGGACAUCACCCACAGAAGAAGCACCGGCUAACUCCGUGCCAGCAGCCGCGGUAAUACGGAGGGUGCGAGCGUUAAUCGGAAUUACUGUGCGUAAAGCGCGAGUAGGCGGUCUGAUAAGCCGGUUGUGAAAGCCCCGGGCUCAACCUGGGAACGGCAUCCGGAACUGUCAGGCUAGAGUGCAGGAGAGGAAGGUAGAAUUCCCGGUGUAGCGGUGAAAUGCGUAGAGAUCGGGAGGAAUACCAGUGGCGAAGGCGGCCUUCUGGACUGACACUGACGCUGAGGUGCGAAAGCGUGGGUAGCAAACAGGAUUAGAUACCCGGGUAGUC